UUCUGUGUCAACUGAACUGUAAAUAAACAUCUUACAAGAAACUGGAUUUGUGUAUUGGUUUCACAUUUCGCGUGAUUUUGGGUAGAAAACGCACAGCUUUCACUUCUCUUUUAUUUCAUCCAACGCAAUCUGGCAUCGGUUGAGGAAAUGUGUAACAACCACAGAGUAAAAUGAUAAAUUGUUUAUCUGAUUAUUCAUCAUGACCCGUGUAGCUCGCGGAAAUGGAAGUGAGGAGAGGUUCACAACUGUCAAAUUAGCAAAGAGAAUCGCAAAAAAACCGCCAAAAUGAUCGCGAAAAAUCGCUAAAGAUGAACAUUCUUAUCUUUGAUCAUUCUGCAGUCGAAAGAAGAGUCUUCUUUCAUGACAAAAUCGUCGUUUCAUUUUUGCCUAAAGAAUUCAAAAUAUAUUUUGCUUCGUAUGUAUUUUAAAUGUAAAAAAACCGAACGGUCGAAAAAGCCAUAGUUAAAUUUUCGAACGAACGACCGAAGAAAACCAUUUUUAUGUUUUCGAACGGCCGUUUAAGCGUUUGAAAGUGUUCGACGGCCAACACUAUUUUGAACCGAUUAGAUUCAAUCACAUUGAACAAAAGAAACAUCGUUCUUGUUAGGUGAAUCUAGCAGUCGAUGAAUUCAACAACGAGUUCUUCAACUACGAUGGCGAUGAAUCCUCCAAAAGGUGUUUCUACGGUGUGCUCAUGGAAAACUAUAUCAAGGAUCGUAUCUUUAUGGACCAGGUUCCAGGCAAAUGGUUGUCAACAUUCUUGGUGCAUGGUUUCCAUGGCCAAUGAACAGGUAUUCCGGCAAUACGUUCAAAUGCUUGCACGAACGACGCCACAAACAUCAAAACCAAUCUUACAACGCAUUGCGGACAGCAUCUCAGAAAGUUCCACAAAAUGCGAUGCUACGAAUUUAUAUGUGUCUGUGUGGAAAACUCCAGUUGGACUAAUUAUUCAAUGGUGAUGACAUCAAAAAUACCAUCAACUUCACAUACAAACGAAGAGUUUUCAAGCGUGGCAAUGCAAAUACCAAACAGAAAUUGGAAAUACUGUUGGCGGAGCUGUAUUAGGUUGGAGUGCCUUACAACCCGAAUGAUCCACACCCAUUCAACAUCAAAGAAUUUGUAGAAUGCAAUUGCAUUACGACCCCUCAUUUUCAUUUCAUUUUACACCGAAAAUCACUCGCUGAAUUCGAUUUUGUACAAUAUUAGUAAAUAAUUUGUAUUUAUAGUGGUCUUUCUCAAUUGGAAUAAGGAUAUGGUCUAUGAACAUUCAACACAAAAUAACCUAACCAAUACAUGGAAAUAAGUAAGUAGCCGAUUUGACAACGAAAAUGUCCAAAUGUUGGUGAUAUCAAAAAUUUAUGAAUUUACAAUUUAGUUGAGACCAAAAGACAUUAAAAUAAAGAAUCUUACCGAUGUAAGACGAACUUUUCCGCACUGUUGUACAAAAUACUAGGGAACUGAAUGUCAUCAGACAUAUAAAAGGGCAUUUUUGAUAAAAUACCGAAUCGAUCUGGUGUAAAUUAAUGGAGCAAUGCUUUUGAAAAAAGUUUUCCAUAAAAAAAUAGUAUAUAGAGCAUGAAUUAUUUUAAUGGUCCGUUCUAAAAGUCAAAUGGUCCGCUCUAAAUCGGAAAUUGGUCCGUAAGACUUCGUUAGUUUGAUCAUGUUUUUGACCUUUCCUUAAGCAAUUUUUCUUUCGAAAUGACUGAAUUUAAACUUUUUUCCAAAAAACUCUUUACAAAUGUUUUAAUUUUUUAACAUUUGGUAGAGAACGGAUUAAUUUCGACAUAUUGGUAGACAGCGAAAUGGCGAACAUAUUUCGCUGAUUAUUGCAAACAUUCUUUUUGCAAUAAUCAGCUACAUCGACUGCACACUUUAUGUGAUGAUUGUUCGCUUCGUAUGAGUCUGCCGAACUUGUUUAUAAAUUCCAAAAUGUUCUUGUAAAAACAGUAGUUCUUGUUGUGGCUAACGUGUAAUAAGCAGAAAGAAGUGUAUAACUGCGACCAGUACUAAAUCCAAUAUGUCAUCAUAGAGCUCUUAAAAGACUACACAAAUAAUAUUUUGGUCAUUUCCAAAAAAAAUCGUAUCUCUAAAAUAUAAUAAAAUUUUGAUCUCGUCGUUUUUGAUUAAUACAUCAUUUGGAAGCGACAUUCUUCGAGACCUAAGAUGGGCUUACGCCUUAGGUGGUUCAGUUUUUAUCUUUAUGAAAAUGCAGCAACCAUAUGACAACGCUGGACUGAUUGGAGUUCAAAUACAUGAAAAAUUGUGAUCGCAACACAAAAUUCAAAAACACCAUUCCUGUUGUUCAUCAACGACAUAGUGGACGAAAUGGACGAUACGUUCAUUUCCUUGUUCGCUGAUGAUGUGAAAAUCGCCAAAAUCAUCCAGUCGAAUUCGGAUGCAGAAGUGCUUCAGCGGGCCAUCGAUAAACUGAAGGCCUGGUGCGACGUAAACAAUCUGCACCUAAAUCUCGACAAAUGUGCCGUCCUCAGAAUCACCACAAAAAGGAAAGAUAUCAUCGACACUGAAUACAAAUAUGGUGAUUUCAAAUUGAAGCGCGUAUCAGACGACAAAGAUCUUGGCGUCAUCAUUGACCAGAAACUUAGCUUUAUCAAACUUAUCGACACAAUUACAUCAAAGGCGACUGCGGCCCUUGGUUUCAUCAGGAGAUUCUGCUACAACAUUACCGAUGUUCAAACGCUCAAAACAUUGCAUUACGCAUUUAUUCAGUCUCAUCUCGAGUACUGUAACGUUGUACGGCUACCAACUUAUGCCGUACACAUCGACGAAAUUGAGAGCGUUUUGAGAAAAUUCAUCCAGUUCGCCCGAAGAGAGUACCGUACAGCUGCCAAUGGCUAUAGUUUCGCCGACUAUAACAAGCGACUCGAGGAAUUGAAUAUGACAUCGUUGGAGCGUAGGAGAGUGAAUGCAUCAAUUGUAUUCACGUAUGACAUCGUGAAUGGGAUCGCAAAUUGAGUACAACCAUGGUAUGAACCAUCGAGUCAACCAUGGUAUUAUUGGUAUUUCGACGCCAUAAAUGCAGAAAUACGAAGUGAUGGUCGGUUUUCGCCCGUAAAAUUUGCGACGAUUAAUUGAUUCUACACAAUCUUUUUGUUAAUCACAACUUAAUCAUUAUUAACUAUUUACACAAUCACGAUUAAGUUGGUGCAGUUAAUCACGGCGACAUCGUGAUUAAUACAACAAGUUAAUCAUCGCCGAUGAUUAAUUAAUCUCUUGCACAAUCACUUAAUCAUGAUUAAUUGCGAUUAAAUGAUUAAGUGGCAUCUUAAUCGUUUUAAAAAUGAUUGUGCAAUUAAUCGCAAAACGCCCACCUGUAUAGAAACCAUCAAUACUGUCUGGUCGUUUUAAAUCAGUGUUUCAAGCUUAAACAAUUCUUAAACAAUUUAAUUAAACAAUUCUCCUCCAAGCUAGUCUAUCUAAAGCCAAUCUACUUGAUUCUUUCCCCAAUUUUAAGUCUCUUUCGUUCAAAACAAAUUUCACUCAUGUAUUGUUUGUCCUGACGCGAAUUAUGAAUUUUUCAAUUUAUUCAUUUUUACAUGAAAUAAAAUCUCUUUUACAAUAAUACGCAUAUAAUAUUUCAUUGCCAUCAAUCUACAUUAAUGUACGUUGUAUCGAAAAACGAUUUAAAAAAAAAUUUCUUAGAACUUUUAGAGAUAAUUUCUUAGAACUAGAGUUUCCAUCAUAAACAAAUAAUAGGUCAAAACAAACACCAACUCAAUGGAUGGCUAUAUCACAGUCAAUGUUGUUAAAUUUACGAUAAAGUGGUGUAAAAAUCACAGUGAUGCAUUAAUUCUAUACAUUAGGUAAUUAUGUAAGAAAACAAUUUGUCAAUAUUUUAUAUUAAAAGUUUAGUUUCGUACUCAUGUGAUGAAAUUUGCACGGCUGGUUGAAUUUUUGAAUGAAUCAGCCACUUUAUUUGCAUAUUUGCACACGUGAGGCACUUGAGCUCUUGUUUGCUUGUCCAAUAGCCCAUCCCUGAUUUUUAGGUAGUCAGUGUGCCUUAACAAGCGUACAAUCUCUCCAAUUGCCAUUCACGAUAUCACACAUGAACCCAAUGGAAGCAUUCACUCUCCUAAGUUCCAGCGAUGUCAUGCUUAGAGCCUCCAGUCGCUUGUUGUCGUCGGUGAUGUUGUGUCCGUUGGCUGAUGUUCGAUAUUCUCUUCGGGCGAACUGUGUGAACUUCCUAAAAACGCUCUCGAUUUAAUCGAUAUGCACGGCGUAAGUUGGUGGCGUAAGUUGGUAGCCAUACAACGUUACAGUACUCUAGAUGAGACUGAACCAGUGCGUAAUACAAUGUUUUGAGCGUUUGAACAUCGGUAAUGUUGUAGCAAAAUCUGUUGAUGAAUCCAAGGGCCGCUGUCGCCUUCGAUGUUAUCGCGUCAAUGUGCUUGAUAAAGCUCAGCUUCUGGGUCAAUGAUGAUGCCGAGAUCUUUGUGGUCCAAUAAAUUUAAAUUUGGUCCUAAAAUUGUAUAUAUAUGGACUGGUAAUUUAUUUAGAUACCCCAAUAUUCUCGAACAAAAAUUAAAAAUGUAAUCAAAAUGAUAGAAAAAAAUUUUUGUCUAAUGAUUUGGGAGUAGUGUGGUCAUAACAUGUAAAGUCAUUUCAAUAGUAGAUCUCAACCAUUGUAUAAUUUAGUUGUAAGUAUAAAGAAACCAAAUAAAUAAUAAUAAUAAUAAUAA